UAAUAUCAUACGAAAGCUGAAGA
rnacentral:miRNA from 2 species